AACGAACGCUGGCGGCAGGCUUAACACAUGCAAGUCGAGCGCCCCGCAAGGGGAGCGGCAGACGGGUGAGUAACGCGUGGGAAUCUACCCUGAUCUGCGGAAUAGCUCCGGGAAACUGGAAUUGAUACCGCAUGUGCCCUGAGGGGCAAAGAUUUAUCGGUUCAGGAUGAGCGCGCGUCCGAUUAGAUAGUUGGUGGGGUAAUGGCCUACCAAGGCGACGAUCGGUAGCUGGUCUAAGAGGAUGAUCAGCCACAUUGGGACUGUGACACGGCCCAAACUCCUACGGGAGGCAGCAGUGGGGAAUAUUGGACAAUGGGCGCAAGCCUGAUCCAGCCAUGCCGCGUGAGUGAUGAAGGCCCUAGGGUUGUAAAGCUCUUUCAGUGGGGACGAUAAUGACGGUACCCACAGAAGAAGCCCCGGCUAACUUCGUGCCAGCCGCCGCCGUAA
rnacentral:rRNA from 1 species